rnacentral:rRNA from 1 species
CACGUAGGGCGCGAGCGUUGUCCGGAAUUAUUGGGCGUAAAGAGCUCGUAGGCGGCCUGUUGCGUCCGCCGUGAAAGCCCGGGGCUUAACCCCGAGCCUGCAGUGGAUACGGGCAGACUAGAGGUAGGUAGGGGAGAAUGGAAUUCCCGGUGUAGCGGUGAAAUGCGCAGAUAUCGGGAGGAACACCGGUGGCGAAGGCGGUUCUCUGGGCCUUACCUGACGCUGAGGAGCGAAAGCGUGGGGAGCGAACAGG